UACGGGGGGGGCAAGCGUUGUUCGGAAUUACUGGGCGUAAAGGGCUCGUAGGUGGCCAACUAAGUCAGACGUGAAAUCCCUCGGCUUAACCGGGGAACUGCGUCUGAUACUGGAUGGCUUGAGUUUGGGAAAGGGACGCGGAAUUCCGGGUGUAGCGGUGAAAUGCGUAGAUAUCUGGAGGAACACCGGUGGCGAAGGCGGCGUCCUGGACCAACACUGACACUGAUGAGCGAAAGCCAGGGGAGCAAACGGG
rnacentral:rRNA from 1 species